rnacentral:lncRNA from 1 species
UGGUCGUUGACGAUUGUCGCUCAUCAAACAAGAAACGAAUAACUUUUUUGUUGCUGUCGUUGGCUACAGGCAAACGAACACGGCCUUAUUGACCUCAAGAUAUACACAUAAUUUUUUUAUUUUUUUUGUCAACAGCAUACACACAUAUAGUUAGUUUAUCAUAUUUUAGAAUAAAUUAAGUUACAGUGCGACGAACGUGGUGGUCUGUCUUGUCUUAAGAUAAGUUGACAUUUAUAAAUAUAGAAUGAGUAAUUGGUGUGUUUACU